GAAGGAGACCUACUAAGUUAAUACCUGAGAGCGAAUUGCGAAUAGGGUUUAGCUGUAGUCACCUAAGGUCGUUGAGGGUUUUGUUUUUACUACUGGUUAAGUCCAGACUCUUCCAAAUUAUUCAGGUGUUACGACAUCGGCCGUCUGGCCGAAGUCGAUACGCCGAGACAAACGGGCUAUUAGCUCAGGUGGUUAGAGCGCACCCCUGAUAAGGGUGAGGUCCCUGGUUCGAGUCCAGGAUGGCCCACUUUCGGAAAGUGUGAAGUCAGAAGUAUGAACGAUGAGUAAAAGAGAAAUCUAACUUCAUCCUUCAUCAUUCCUACUUUUUCGUUCAAAUCUGGGGGUAUAGCUCAGCUGGUAGAGCGCCUGCUUUGCAAGCAGGAUGUCAGCGGUUCGAGUCCGCUUACCUCCACCACAACUUACAAGCUACGGUAAAAAAUCAGCAACUAGGGAUGUGAGCAGCUACGGGAAGUAGAGCGUUUAACAUCAUAGAUUGCUGGUCUUUGUAGACUAGCGAGAACCUUGACAACUGCAUAGAAAACUAUAAGAAAGCAAAGGUAGUUCAAAGUCUGUUGCAGGCAUUUGAGAACAAAGAAGCCCAAUGAGCUGAGUAGAUUAGGCGAGUCAGUAGCGAGAGCUAAGGACUUGAAUGAGCUAUUCGGUUGCAUAAGCAAUCGACCUUCUCCUACCAAGGAA
rnacentral:tRNA from 1 species